CUAAACUGCACUCAUAAAUGCGAUAUAAUCGAUCAUUACGAAUAGGUGGUGGCCGGUCUACCUGUCCGCGGCACAUAACAGCGCACAUACCCACUCCGUAAACACCUCGAAAGAAACCGGUUUCACCGCGGGCAUACAAAACGUUUCCCCCCAAACACAUCUUCCAUCCUCCAUUAAUGCUAAUCCAUCAAAUAGGCCCGUCUCGCUCGCGUCUGCGAGCCAACUUCGCGGCAAAGGGACGGCUGACCAAUCAGCGCGCUGCAUUUCAUCGCCAUAUUGAAUGUUGCGACGGUGGCGCUCUCUGUCUCAACUAAUGUGAAUGUGCCGUAUCUGUGUUUUUCUUGGUGUUUUGGAUACAUUUGAAACUGCUAGAUACAGUAGCUAAGAUCCGACACAAGCCGUGUUUCACAAUGCAACAAAAAGGAAGGAAUCUCCAAUUUAUGUUCUGAGCACAAAAGAGCAUUCUCAAGACAAACUACUUACAGUAGCCAAGUAUUUACACAGUGAGCUUGCAUCAGAGAUGAAAUACGCUGCCAAAUGUCCGGCAGAAGGAACGAAACUCAGGAUUUACUGCGAAAAUUUUGGAAGUUAGCCGCAGUAACCGCCGCGGAGGACUGCAUUAAUCACUACAUGGAAAAAUAUAACUGCAAAUACCACAAGCAUACUUUACUAGUACACACAGCCUGCUGCGAAUCCCCAUAAUCCGGCCACUUAUCACGCGUGCAAAAUGCAAAUGUUCGCGAACGUUCCACGCAGAAUUAACGAAAACACCGGACUAGGUUCGGGCGCGUCACGGGAAUGGCCGAACUUGCCGCUACGUUUACAAAGGAUAAGCCCAGUAAUCUGGGGGCACGUGAGACAACCGGCUCAUGAUUUACGGAGACGCUCCAAACUUCCGCAACUCUAUUAAAGAAGAAGCCAUUCCGUAGUGCCGAGGGUGAUUGGCGCGGACGAGUGAAAGGAUAAUGAUGGACCUCAAGCCAAGCUGCGCUUAAAGGAGGAUAAAUUUCUAUAAC